AAAAUAUUAACAUGCAAAAUAUUAAUAUGUAAUAAUGAACACAACAGAAGUUCGUGCAAGUUGCAUGAUCGUCGUAGUCUUUUUCCUUUUUUUUUUUCAAUUUAGUAAUGACGAAAUUGAAAUUCCAUUCACUUCAAUAAUAAAUUACAAUAAUAUAAUUGAAUUAAUCAAUAUGAAUUAAAAACCAAUACUCAUGCAAACAACUACUUUUACAUGAUUUUUAUUAUCUAACUCUUAUCAAUAAUAAUAAAAAUUUAAAAUCAUUCAUUCUUCCGUGUUUAUGGAACCAUCACCAAUCAAGUGAUCAAUCUUUCCUUCAGGGUGCUCCUAAAAGUCUGCCACAUCCAAGCAUGUGAUGUCAAGAUUAUUUUCAGAGAGAAAGUUAGCUUCGGGAUUUCUCUCUUUCUUCUUUAGUGAUGCUUGAUAAAGGUCCACUAAGUGCUUGAGAGCACGACAGUCACGUGAAUGGUAUCCUUUUCCACCACAUUAAAAAUAAGUAAUUGCUUCACAUUUCUUAUCUUUUCGCUUAUUGUUUGAUGAAUGAUUAACACCCGAAACAGGAUUUCUUACUUGGUCAUCACGACCACGACCUCAACCACGACCACGUCCACGACCACAUCCAUGACCAAAGCUGUGAUUUUUUCCACGCCUAGCAUAGUGAGCAUGCACAUCAUUCACCUCAGGGAAUGGUGCAGAUCCAGUAGGUUUAUUCUUGUAAUUUUUCAUCAACAAAUCAUUAUUUUGUUCGGCCACAAGAUGAUGAGAACUCAGCACAAUAUAUUUCUUAAAAUCUUUUUCUUGAUAUUAUUGUUGUAAUAGCACAUUUGAGGCAUGAAAAUAGAGUGUCUUUUCCAUCACAUCGUCAUUAUUGACCAUCUCUCCACAUAGUUUUAAUUGAGAAGAAAUUCUGAACAUGGCAGAAUUGUACUCAUGGACAGACUUAUAGUCUUGAAAUCUCAGAUGCAUCCAUUUAUAUCAUGCUUUCGGGAGGAUGACCAUCUUUAAGUGGUCAAACCUUUCUUUUAGGCUAUUCCAUAAUUCGAGUGGAUCCUUAGUAGUGAGGUAUUCAAUUUUCAGAAUUUCGUCAAGAUGAUGAUGCAAGAAAAUCAUAGCCUUAGCACGAUUUUGACUAGAUGUUGUAUUUUUAGCUUUUAUGGCGUCUCUAAGACCCAUAGUAUCUAGGUGGAUUUCAGCAUCCAACACCCAUGAAAUAUAGUUUUUGGCCAAACUUUGAAGGGAAAUGAACUCACACUUCGUAGUAUUGUUAGCCAUAAAAAGGGAAGAAAAAUAAUAAUACCUUAGCCUUAGCCUUCAAAUUUGAGACGGUAAAGUCUCGUGCUGAUAACGUGUUAUAAAACAAGAAAGAACAGAGAAGAAAAAGAGAAUAGAGAGAGUAAUUGUUACUUCUCUUGAGGGAUGAUUUACAAAGAAGGAAGCCCUUCUAUUUAUAGAGGGAAUUUUCCUCUAGUUUCAUACUAAAAGAUAAAUACAUCAAAUUCUGAUAGACAUCAAAUAGAUCUUGAUAGACAUUCACUAUAAUUGAUAUAUAUCAUAACAAAUAAUUUAUUCAUUCAUCUCAAAUUAGUUAUCCAAAACUUUCCAUAAAUGUGCUACUAUUCUAUGGUAAUAUUAAUUUUCAGACUCGGUAUAUCUAAUAAUUAACUAAAACAGUAUCACUACUCAUCGAUAAUAUGUAUUUCUGAACUAAGCAUACACGUGCAUCGCACGUGCUUUAAAACUAGAUAUAUAUNNNNNNNNNNNNNNNNNNNNNNNNNNNNNNNNNNNNNNNNNNNNNNNNNNNNNNNNNNNNNNNNNNNNNNNNNNNNNNNNNNNNNNNNNNNNNNNNNNNNNNNNNUAUAUAUAUAAUAUAUAUACUAGAGGUGCAUGGCCGUGUUAGCACGGGCCCAACACUAUAGACAUUUUUAGCACCAAAAAUCGAUAUUGAUGAGAUAAAAACAUAAAUGUACAUUGAACUAAAAUGAUAACUUUUUAAAUAAUAACUAUUUGACCAUACUCGCUAAGGAUUGAAGUUUUAUAAGAUAGUUUUUUCACAUGAUAAGAAAGUAUGAUAUGUCGUGUAGUCGGGAUAUUUUAACUAUUUGAUGAUAAGAUUGAGACCUAUUACAAAAUAUAGAAAAGAUGUAGAACUAAUAUUCAUAAGAUUAUUUCAAACAAAAACUGGAACAAAAGAUACUUCAAUUAACAACAAAGUCUUGGAUCAUCUUCUCAAAGGCAAAACACUUAUAAAUACAGAUAUUGAAAUGUUUUGAACCACUACUAAGUUAAGAAAUUCUUAUAGAUAGGUGCACAGUAUUAUCAGAUCUAGAUAUCCAAAUAUAACAACAUUUAGAAUUGGGGUGGCAGCGCGAAAAAUAUUUUCAAGAUUAACUAUUGUGAUUUAUAAUACUUUUUAUGUAAUUUUUAAAUGAUAUAUGUUAUACCCUCUGUCUCAAUUUAUGUGGUAUUGAUACAAUUUUUUAGAGUUAACUAAAUUUUUU
rnacentral:lncRNA from 1 species